rnacentral:rRNA from 1 species
GAAGGUGUGUCGUGAGGCAUGCUGGAGGUAUCAGAAGUGCGAAUGCUGACAUAAGUAACGAUAAAGCGGGUGAAAAGCCCGCUCGCCGGAAGACCAAGGGUUCCUGUCCAACGUUAAUCGGGGCAGGGUGAGUCGACCCCUAAGGCGAGGCCGAAAGGCGUAGUCGAUGGGAAACGGGUUAAUAUUCCCGUACUUGGUGUUACUGCGAAGGGGGGACGGAGAAGGCUAUGUUGGCCGGGCGACGGUUGUCCCGGUUUAAGCGUGUAGGUGUGUGUUCCAGGUAAAUCCGGUUCACUUUAACACUGAGGCGUGACGACGAGGCACUACGGUGCUGAAGCAACAAAUGCCCUGCUUCCAGGAAAAGCCUCUAAGCAUCAGGUAACAUCAAAUCGUACCCCAAACCGACACAGGUGGUCAGGUAGAGAAUACCAAGGCGCUUGAGAGAACUCGGGUGAAGGAACUAGGCAAAAUGGUGCCGUAACUUCGGGAGAAGGCACGCUGACACGUAGGUGAAGUGAUUUACUCAUGGAGCUGAAGUCAGUCGAAGAUACCAGCUGGCUGCAACUGUUUAUUAAAAACACAGCACUGUGCAAACACGAAAGUGGACGUAUACGGUGUGACGCCUGCCCGGUGCCGGAAGGUUAAUUGAUGGGGUCAGCGCAAGCGAAGCUCCUGAUCGAAGCCCCGGUAAACGGCGGCCGUAACUAUAACGGUCCUAAGGUAGCGAAAUUCCUUGUCGGGUAAGUUCCGACCUGCACGAAUGGCGUAAUGAUGGCCAGGCUGUCUCCACCCGAGACUCAGUGAAAUUGAACUCGCUGUGAAGAUGCAGUGUACCCGCGGCAAGACGGAAAGACCCCGUGAACCUUUACUAUAGCUUGACACUGAACAUUGAGCCUUGAUGUGUAGGAUAGGUGGGAGGCUUUGAAGUGUGGACGCCAGUCUGCAUGGAGCCGACCUUGAAAUACCACCCUUUAAUGUUUGAUGUUCUAACGUGGACCCGUUACCCGGGUUGCGGACAGUGUCUGGUGGGUAGUUUGACUGGGGCGGUCUCCUCCUAAAGAGUAACGGAGGAGCACGAAGGUUGGCUAAUCCUGGUCGGACAUCAGGAGGUUAGUGCAAUGGCAUAAGCCAGCUUGACUGCGAGCGUGACGGCGCGAGCAGGUGCGAAAGCAGGUCAUAGUGAUCCGGUGGUUCUGAAUGGAAGGGCCAUCGCU